rnacentral:rRNA from 1 species
GAUGAACGCUGGCGGCGUGCCUAAUACUUGCAAGUCGAGCGAACGGACGAGAAGCUUGCUUCUCUGAUGUUAGCGGCGGACGGGUGAGUAACACGUGGAUAACCUACCUAUAAGACUGGGAUAACUUCGGGAAACCGGAGCUAAUACCGGAUGAUAUUUUGAACCGCAUGGUUCAAAAGUGAAAGACGGUCUUGCUGUCACUUAUAGAUGGAUCCGCGCUGCAUUAGCUAGUUGGUAAGGUAACGGCUUACCAAGGCAACGAUGCAUAGCCGACCUGAGAGGGUGAUCGGCCACACUGGAACUGAGACACGGUCCAGACUCCUACGGGAGGCAGCAGUCGGGAAUCUUCCGCAAUGGGCGAAAGCCUGACGGAGCAACGCCGCGUGAGUGAUGAAGGUCUUCGGAUCGUAAAACUCUGUUAUUAGGGAAGAACAUAUGUGUAAGUAACUGUGCACAUCUUGACGGUACCUAAUCAGAAAGCCCCGGCUAACUACGUG